UAUUGCACAAUGGGGGAAACCCUGAUGCAGCGACGCCGCGUGAGCGAAGAAGUAUUUCGGUAUGUAGAGCUCUAUCAGCAGGGAAGAAAAAUGACGGUACCUGAGAAAGAAGCACCGGCCAAAUACGUGCCAGCAGCCGCGGUAAUACGUAUGGUGCAAGCGUUAUCCGGAUUUACUGGGUGUAAAGGGAGCGCAGGCGGUGCGGCAAGUCUGAUGUGAAAGCCCGGGGCUCAACCCCGGGACUGCAUUGGAAACUACCGAACUAGAGUGUCGGAGAGGUAAGUGGAAUUCCUAGUGUAGCGGUGAAAUGCGUAGAUAUUAGGAGGAACACCAGUGGCGAAGGCGGCUUACUGGACGAUAACUGACGCUGAGGCUCGAAAGCGUGGGGAGCAAACAGG
rnacentral:rRNA from 1 species